ACAGGGUUUACUGAUGGAUUGAAUGUGGGGUAUGAGAGGUAGGAGUCAAGGAUGACUCUAAGGGUACAUUUGCCGUUAAUUGGGAUGAGGGAGUAUGCAGGAGGAGAUAUGAGGAAAGUCAGGCUUAAAGAUGUUAAAUGAUUCACCCAAGGUCACACUGGUAAUUCAGAGAGAAAUGGAAUUAAUUGACCUGUUAGGAAACUCAGAGAUCUGCUGGUCUUUCUUAUUUUACAGAUGAAAAAUUUGGAGUCUAGUGAAAAGAAGUGACUUGUUCAAAGUCACACAGCACAUGAAGAACAGAGCCUCUAUGAUGAAUUUCUUGACAGCUGAUAUAAGUCUUUUGAGGUACAGCCUGGCACAAAAAGGAUGAGAUUUGUGGGCAGAAUUUUGGAAGAAUAUCUCCCGAGAGAACAUUCAGGACAGAGCCCUACAUCUCCCCGAGAAGAGGUGAAAGAGACUGCUCCUAUCUGCUCCUGCAUCAAACUUCAGGCUCAAGACCUGUCCAGAAAAAAAAAUGUCUUCUUUCAGGGAUGAACUGCUGUUCUCAUCAGACGCCUUAUUUUGUUUAGAAUUCAAGCUCACUUGAAAGGUAUUCUACACUUUUUUCAAUACAACUAAGCUAAUGCCCACCUCCUUUCUGAAUUGAUUUCAACCCAGUAUUACCCUUCAUAGCUUUCUCUUAUAGAGUAAGACAAUAGCUGAACAGAUUUAUAUAUACAUGUGUAAGUAUCUAGAUUGUAUACAGGUGUGUGUCUAAUAUAUGAUACAUGGAAUAUAGGUACACAUAUGUAUGUGUGUAUGUGUUUAUGUAUGUAUAUCAUGAAAAGUUACAAUAGUUUCAAAAGGAACAUAGGCAGGCAUCAAUUACUGAGGUUAGUGGAGGCCACAACCAAAGUCAAAUCAACGUAUCCUUCCCAAACCUCAUAUUAGCCAACAACACCAUAAGAUCUUUUCCCAAAGUCCUUGCUAACCAGACUGCCAGAAUGGAGUUUGAAAUAGCAAAUGUGGCAGAGAAGUCAAGCAGUUUUUAAGCAGUGGCUUUACAUAAUUUGAAUCACAGUUCCAUCCAUUCCCAGGGUCCUACUGAGGGCAAGGAGUGCAGGUGCUGUAGCAGAGAAAGGGAGAAUACUGGUAGGAUGGAAAGGUUUUCUGGCUUUCUUGCUUGCCUUAAGUCAGAGCUUUGUGGCCUCCAUCACACAUAAUGAAUAAUUAAGAGUUUAUUGUCUUUUGCUCAGUUGAAACUGAUUGUGUUGGAAGAUUGCAUUGCAGAAUGGUUAAUCACACAGAUUUUGAAGAUAAAUCAUGGCUAUGCCACCUACUAGUUUUGGAAUCUUGAGUAAAGUCCUUAGCCUGUUCGUGCUUCUGAAUCUUCACAUGCAAAAUAAAUUUCAUUUAUUUUGGGUUAUUGUGAAGAUUAAAUGAAUUAAUACAUGUGAAGCAACUGUAACAACUCUUGACAUGCGGUAAGCACUGUAAAUUGUGAACCAUUUAGGAAUGCCCCAUUGGAGAUAAUUUAGGUCACUCAGAAAUUGUAAAUUUUGAAAGGUGAGAGACCGUGUUAUUCAAGUUAGGGCUGAACUGGAACUGUAAAUCUGAUGGUUGAAUAAUAAACAGAGUAAUUAUUGAAGAAUUAACAGCAACUCUUAUGGUAUUACAUUUAAGACUUGAACCUUACUCAAACUACUUUUAAAGACUUUAAUGUUUAAGGGCUAUAAAUGUCAGAGCUCACUAAUUUCUUUGGCUUUCAAUAAAUGCCAGUGACUUUAAGAAUUGCUAUCUCUUUAGCUUAUCUGGCAAGAAGAGCACAAGCUUAAAGGGUACACAAGAGGGCCCUGAUGACCCACUCUCUUCCCAGUGGAAAAUGCAG
ensembl:lincRNA